UACGGGGGGGGCAAGCGUUGUUCGGAAUUACUGGGCGUAAAGGGCUCGUAGGUGGCCAUUUAAGUCAGACGUGAAAUCCCUCAGCUUAACUGGGGAACUGCGUCUGAUACUGGAUGGCUUGAGUUUGGGAGAGGGAUGCGGAAUUCCAGGUGUAGCGGUGAAAUGCGUAGAUAUCUGGAGGAACACCGGUGGCGAAGGCGGCUACCUGGACAGAGUCUGACGCUGAGGCACGAAAGCUAGGGGAGCAAACAGG
rnacentral:rRNA from 1 species